rnacentral:misc_RNA from 1 species
CACCAAAGGAUGCAGUACUAGAA